GUACUGCCACCCGGCAGGGAGAUAGCAUGAUCACAAAGGUGGUUUCCCCAGGCCAAGGCUUUCCCAUUGCAUUCCACAAGUGCUGACCCCUGCGAUUUUCUCAAAUGUGGGAAACUCAACUGCAUAAUUUGUCAUAGUGGGAGACUGUGUUUGCACAUAG